AUGUGUGUUUGUGCGUGAUGGUGAGCGGUUUUGACAGUUCAGUUCGAUAUCGCAGAUCGAACAACCCAUUCCCAGUAUUUAUUUUAUUCAUUUUAAGUUUGUUCGGUAUCUUAGUGGUUCCUUAUGGUUAUGUUGGUUAUGGACAUGGAAGUACCUGCAUUUGUCCAACCUGUACAAAGCAAGAGGAGGAGAGAUUCCCAAAAAUGUGUGGAAGGCUCGUGAAGACGAUACAGAUGAAUGUGCGAAGGCUCACUUCCCCGAGGAGACUUCUGUCGGAGUCCUGGAUAUUCUCCUGUGUCACCGCUCUUGUGGUCAGAGCGAUCUUCUCUGCUGUAUGCUCCCAGUACAUGGAGAGACUUCGUGAGAUGUGUCUUGACGUUUUGGUGAUUAUGAUUUUAAAUGGUGAAUAUAGAGGUGUCUUCGUCAAAGGUUCCUUAUGCAGACUAUCCUGCGCAAGAAGAAGAUGGGUUCCAAAAUGUUUUCUACAAUUCUAUUUCUCAACGCUGAGUCGUUCGCUUGGAAUGGUUACACGGCGCGUGUUGGUAUCAUCUAAUUCUUCGUUACAUUGUCAAUGCUUAUUAUAACUACCUUUACUUAUCCCAAAACUGUUAUGAUGGUUUACCUCAGUAUUUAUUACCUUUGGUGUUUUUGUACCCGUGAAUGGAGUGGUCUCAAAAAUUUUCCAUUGGGCAACUCUGACAGUUAUGUUCUAUGGAAUGGGUAUACUUCCUUCUAUGAUGAUUAAUUAUUCACAAGGUAUUUUCCACUUUCACUGCUUUAAUUAUUUUAUUGGAUUAACACGUUUUAUAUUUAAACAGUGGUUAAGGUGUACACAUAGUAAUUUCUUUUCCUUUUUAGGUUUCCACUAUCUGUGCUAUUUGACAAGCAACAUUGCACUUCCUUGGUGCUAUUACAAUAUUAUUAUAAUAUUUAAUAGCAUUAUAUUUUGUAUUAGAACAAUUGAGGUUAAUCUAUCCAUUUGUUUCAGCUGGUCGUCAUACAUCAUGUUCUACGAAUAUAGCCACAUAAUUCGUGUUUGCACAUACACUUCCUUCUGCGAUGAUUAAGUGCUUGCAAGGUAACUGUCACCUUUCUUGCCUUUAAUAGCUUGAGUAAUAGUUAGAAUACACAUAAAACUUUCUCUUUUUUUUUUCUUUUAGAUUCCAAUUAUCCACAAUAUUCAACAAGCAGUAUUAUACCACAUACCAUCGUUCUUCAUCGCCUCAUAGCAUUGUUCUGGCUAUAAUCUAUUUCGAUUAUGCGCUAGUUUUAAUUUGUUCAAAUGCACUGUUUCACCUUUCACUUCGAUCUUAACGUUUUGAUUUUGCAAAAUUCCUAAUACUUUAUGCGGACCGGAAUAUUGAUCGGAGAGCUUUCCUUUGUUAGGUUCUUUUAUUUAUCGUGAAGACGAUCCAGAUGACUGUGCGAAGGCUUGCUUCCUUGAGGAGACUUCUACCGGAAUCCUGGAUAUUCUUCUGUCACUGCUUUUCUGGUCAGAGCGAUCUUCUCUGUACACUCCCAGUACAUGGAGAGACUUUGUGA